CCUACGGGAGGCAGCAGUGGGGAAUUUUGGACAAUGGGCGAAAGCCUGAUCCAGCAAUGCCGCGUGAGUGAAGAAGGCCUUCGGGUUGUAAAGCUCUUUUGUCAGGGAAGAAACGGUGAAAGCUAAUAUCUUUUGCUAAUGACGGUACCUGAAGAAUAAGCACCGGCUAACUACGUGCCAGCAGCCGCGGUAAUACGUAGGGUGCAAGCGUUAAUCGGAAUUACUGGGCGUAAAGCGUGCGCAGGCGGUUUUGUAAGUCUGAUGUGAAAUCCCCGGGCUCAACCUGGGAAUUGCAUUGGAGACUGCAAGGCUAGAAUCUGGCAGAGGGGGGUAGAAUUCCACGUGUAGCAGUGAAAUGCGUAGAUAUGUGGAGGAACACCGAUGGCGAAGGCAGCCCCCUGGGUCAAGAUUGACGCUCAUGCACGAAAGCGUGGGGAGCAAACAGGAUUAGAUACCCUGGUAGUCCACGCCCUAAACGAUGUCUACUAGUUGUCGGGUCUUAAUUGACUUGGUAACGCAGCUAACGCGUGAAGUAGACCGCCUGGGGAUACGGUCGCAAGNUUAAAACCGUUAAANGAAAUUGACCGGNUGAGAGNGCGAGACGACGACGAGGGAGGAGG
rnacentral:rRNA from 1 species